GCCCAGCUGGCUCAGUCGGUAGAGCAUGUAACACUUGAUCUCAGGGUUGUUGGUUCAAGCCCCAUGUUGGGUG
rnacentral:tRNA from 1 species